rnacentral:tRNA from 1 species
AGAGGGUUAGGAUAAUGGCAGUCCACCUGGUUUUGGACCAGGUAAUAUAGGUUCGAUCCCUAUACCCUCUACCA